AAUAAAAUUGAGAAUGGAAAUGGGGAAUGUGCCAAAGAGACAACAACCCGACCAAAUAAAAAAACAACAGCAGAGGGUCACCAACAGGUCUUCAAUGUAGCGAGAAAUUCCCGCACCCGGAGGCGUCCUUCAGCUGGCCCCUAAACAAAUAUAUACUAGUCCAGUGAUAAUGAACGCCAUACUAAUUUCCAAAUUGUACACAAGAAACGAGAAUUAAAAUAAUACAAGACUAACAAAGGCCAGAGGCUCCUGACUUGGGACAGGCGCAAAAAUGCGGCGGGGUUAAACAUGUUUGUGAGAUCUCAACCCUCCCCCUAUACCUCUAACCAAUGUAGUAAAGUAAACGCAUAACAAUACGCACAUUAAAAUUCAGUUCAAGAGAAAUCCGAGUCUGAUGUUAGAAGAUGUAACCAAAGAAAAUAAACAAAAUGACAAUAAUACAUAAAUAACAACAGACUACUAGCAGUUAACUGACAUGCCAGCUCCAGACUUCAAUUAAACUGACUGAAAGAUUAUGAUUUCAUCAUAUGAACAUCAGGCACAAUCCUUCCCGUUAGGGGUUUAGUAUCACACCAUCAUAACAUAUAUGAGAAGAACAUAACCCGUGUCAUGCCAACAACUGUUUUUAGAAUAAAUGUGUUUAGUUCCGAUGCAAAGACCUUAUCAGUGACUCAAUAUUAACGCCAAAAUAUGCAAUCUUUAAUGACUUGACAACAGUAUCGUAAUUAUAUCCCUUCUUAAUAAGUCUAUUCAAAGGUUUUGUAAGUU
rnacentral:lncRNA from 1 species